UACGUAGGUGACAAGCGUUAUCCGGAUUUAUUGGGCGUAAAGCGCACGCAGGCGGUCGAUUAAGUCUGACGUGAAAUCUCUCGGCUUAACCGGGAGCGGUCGUUGGAAACUAAUCAGCUUGAGGCGAUGAGAGGGGUGUGGAAUUCCCGGUGUAGUGGUGGAAUGCGUAGAUAUUGGGAAGAACACCGGUGGCGAAGGCGGCGAGCUGGUCCAUUACUGACGCUGAGGCGCGACAGCGUGGGGAGCAAACAGG
rnacentral:rRNA from 1 species